rnacentral:snRNA from 1 species
GGACUUUGAAAAGAGAGUCAAAGA